CGCGAUACAGGGUGACAGCCCCGUACACAAAAAUGCACAUGCUGUGAGCUCGAUGAGUAGGGCGGGACACGUGGUAUCCUGUCUGAAUAUGGGGGGACCAUCCUCCAAGGCUAAAUACUCCUGACUGACCGAUAGUGAACCAGUACCGUGAGGGAAAGGCGAAAAGAACCCCGGCGAGGGGAGUGAAAAAGAACCUGAAACCGUGUACGUACAAGCAGUGGGAGCACGCUUAGGCGUGUGACUGCGUACCUUUUGUAUAAUGGGUCAGCGACUUAUAUUCUGUAGCAAGGUUAACCGAAUAGGGGAGCCGAAGGGAAACCGAGUCUUAACUGGGCGUUAAGUUGCAGGGUAUAGACCCGAAACCCGGUGAUCUAGCCAUGGGCAGGUUGAAGGUUGGGUAACACUAACUGGAGGACCGAACCGACUAAUGUUGAAAAAUUAGCGGAUGACUUGUGGCUGGGGGUGAAAGGCCAAUCAAACCGGGAGAUAGCUGGUUCUCCCCGAAAGCUAUUUAGGUAGCGCCUCGUGAAUUCAUCUCCGGGGGUAGAGCACUGUUUCGGCAAGGGGGUCAUCCCGACUUACCAACCCGAUGCAAACUGCGAAUACCGGAGAAUGUUAUCACGGGAGACACACGGCGGGUGCUAACGUCCGUCGUGAAGAGGGAAACAACCCAGACCGCCAGCUAAGGUCCCAAAGUCAUGGUUAAGUGGGAAACGAUGUGGGAAGGCCCAGACAGCCAGGAUGUUGGCUUAGAAGCAGCCAUCAUUUAAAGAAAGCGUAAUAGCUCACUGGUCGAGUCGGCCUGCGCGGAAGAUGUAACGGGGCUAAACCAUGCACCGAAGCUGCGGCAGCGACGCUUAUGCGUUGUUGGGUAGGGGAGCGUUCUGUAAGCCUGCGAAGGUGUGCUGUGAGGCAUGCUGGAGGUAUCAGAAGUGCGAAUGCUGACAUAAGUAACGAUAAAGCGGGUGAAAAGCCCGCUCGCCGGAAGACCAAGGGUUCCUGUCCAACGUUAAUCGGGGCAGGGUGAGUCGACCCCUAAGGCGAGGCCGAAAGGCGUAGUCGAUGGGAAACAGGUUAAUAUUCCUGUACUUGGUGUUACUGCGAAGGGGGGACGGAGAAGGCUAUGUUGGCCGGGCGACGGUUGUCCCGGUUUAAGCGUGUAGGCUGGUUUUCCAGGCAAAUCCGGAAAAUCAAGGCUGAGGCGUGAUGACGAGGCACUACGGUGCUGAAGCAACAAAUGCCCUGCUUCCAGGAAAAGCCUCUAAGCAUCAGGUAACAUCAAAUCGUACCCCAAACCGACACAGGUGGUCAGGUAGAGAAUACCAAGGCGCUUGAGAGAACUCGGGUGAAGGAACUAGGCAAAAUGGUGCCGUAACUUCGGGAGAA
rnacentral:rRNA from 1 species